rnacentral:misc_RNA from 1 species
UUUCUACUAUAAAGUGUCCACUAUGCUAAUCUUCUCUGCUUCCCUGAACGUGCUGAACUUUUGGAGUUUAAAUUUGUAGCACAACUGACAUAUCUUGUCACCAAUCUCUAGGAGACAGAAUUAUAUAUAUAUAUUUUUUUGAAUUGUGCAUUUAUCUAGUUUUGAGUUUUCAUAUGCAGAUUUACUUAUAUAAAAAUGAAUAGACAUGCAUAUACGUACUUUUAUACAUUUGAAUGUAUUCACUCUUAAGACUCUGGAUCCUUUGUUCACGUAUGCGCUUUGUGCUCACUGAUCACUCCUGUAGUCUGAAUUCUACAUGCUUUGAUUCUGCUUUUUGGUUAUUUAGUUCAAUAGACAGCCUAGAUGAUUUCUAUAUGUUUUAAAUUUGGCUGGUCACCUUGGGGGGCUGACAUUAGUUUUGCUGAUUGUCUUUUUCCUCUUAUAUUUGUGGUUG